ACAGGGGAGACGCAGUGGGACAUGUCCUUCAACUUCGUGGUGUGCAGGUCAACUGCGUGCUGCAUGGUGUCAGCAGUGUCCGAAGCUCUGUGGACCGUGUUGAAGCAACUGUAUCUUCAGCAUCCGCAAGCAGCUGAUAAAUGGCUCAAGGUAUCCGCAGAGAUUGACGAGGGGUGGAACAUGUCACACUGCGUCAGGGCAAUUCAUGGGAAGCAUGCAAAGAUCGAGUGCCCCUGCAGAGUCUGGAACCCUUGACUACAACUACAAGUGCUCGUUCAGCAAAUCGCUCCUUGCUGUCUGCAAUGCACAAUACAAGUUUCUGUACGUGGAAAUUGACCACUGCGGCAGAAAGAGUGACGGGGGCAUUUUUUCACGGUCCACUCUGCAGAAAGAGAAUUCCGGAGAAAGCAUUGCAUGAAGACGCAAGCCAGAUGUACAAGCGGCGAGUUUUCAACUGCCGUUUGAGCAGGGCCCGGCGAGUCAUCGAAAACGCCUCUGACAUCCUGGCACAACAAUGGAGAAUUUUACGGCGAGCAUUCAAAGCCAAGAAUGACAACAUAUACAGAUAUGUUGGAGCCUGCAUAGUGCUGCACAAUUUUUUGGUGACGGAGUCAUCGGCAUCUUCCGCUACAUACUGCCCGGUAGGCUCUACCGACAGUGAGCACUGGGGAGGACGAAUUUCCUCUGGCUGCUGGAGGGAGGAGGAACCAGCCAGUGGUGCCCUCUUGCCAUCCAAACCUACGGCGUGCCACGCUGCUGGAUAUGCGAAAGACGUUCGGGACACGCUGGCACACCAUUUCAUCAUAGCCGGCCAACUUACCUGGCAAGAUAAAAUGGUCGCUACUACUUGAACUGCACAAGGUGUGUUGUCAAGUUCCGCUGCCACCUCCGUCAACUCCAUCAUCGCUUCGAAGCGGGGUUAUUUGAUGGUGGGGACGUCAACUGCCCCUGCACCACUGCGCUGCUUGUCACGCACCUCUUGCUGUUUUAGCUUAAAAAUAUCUUUUAGGUUUUUCAAUGUUUUCUCUGCAGCCGUUCCUGCAAAAUAAAUAAGGAAUCGUACAUGGAAAGAAACAAGAGAUCACGCUAAAUAAAAUGCCAUAAAAAAGCCUCUUCUCUCCGUUUUUUUUUUUUUCUUUUUUACUGUGGUGUGUUACCUGCAAUACUUAAUUAUAUUUUUCACAAUGGUUAUGUAAAUCCCAGAAACGUAGACAAUAUUCCUAGCGGUGCAGCCCCGCGAAUUUUUUUAUAAGAGUGUGCGAAACACCAGUGAAAACAAUACUUUGCCACGCUGUUUCCUUCACUAAUGAACAGACCUUGCUUUUGUUAUCCGCGAGGCUCCGUGGUUCAAGCGAAGUUCCUGGCGCCUCAUGCGCGCUGAUAAAUUUUAUAUGUAAUUU